CACGCAGGCGGUCAGGCAAGUUGGUGGUGAAAGCCCUCGGCUCAACCGAGAAAUUGCCCCCAAAACUGCUUGACUUGAGUCCCGGAGAGGGUGACGGAAUUCCCAGUGUAGCGGUGAAAUGCGUAGAUACUGGGAGGAACACCAGUGGCGAAGGCGGUCACCUGGACGGGUACUGACGCUCAUGUGCGAAAGCGUGGGGAGCAAACAGGAUUAGAUACCCUGGUAGUCC
rnacentral:rRNA from 1 species